CAGAUUGCUUUGAUGAUUGCAGAAAAGAUAAGGAAUCAAAUCAGACAUCCAUAGAAAGAUUGAAAAUGGAGGACCUAAAAAGAAAAGGGUUAGAUGGUAACCCUUUUUGCAACCCAACCAUUGAUUGGAGAUUGGAAAAGAGGUUUAACAAUGAAAGAGUAUUGAAUUCAAUCACAUGAAACUGGAGCGUCCAGCUGGUGUGACCCACUCAAAUAAUACCCAGUUGGAACUCCAAGCCUAUGAAAAGGUGUCAAAAGGGUGGUUGAAAGAAGGGUAUCAACUUGGCCCCCCUCCCUUGUCAUGGGGUCCUUUGGGCCAGAAAUUUUAACCUCUCCAUUCCCCAAAACCCUUUUCUUUUGUUCACCUUUUGCCAAACUGUUGACAAACAGCUUGAAAUUUCAUAAAUUCUUUGUGUGCUUGGUUGGUGGAUCCAGUUGCUUCUUCCAAGUUUAUGAAGAAAGCAAAAUUUAGUAUGGGGUCGAGGCCAUGGCACAUGGCUUUUAUAUUUCUCCUAGAAGAGUUUAAUGUACAAAAAAUUUUCAUCAAA